CUACGGGGUGCUGCAGCAAGGAAUAUUGGGCAAUGGGCGAAAGCCUGACCCAGCGACACCGCGUGGAGGAAGAAGGCCUUCGGGUUGUAAACUCCUUUUAUCAGGGAAGAAUAAUGACGGUACCUGGUGAAUAAGUCUCGGCUAACUACGUGCCAGCAGCCGCGGUAAUACGUAGGAGGCGAGCGUUAUCCGGAUUUACUGGGCGUAAAGAGGGCGUAGGCGGCUUUUCAAGUCGGAUGUGAAAUCUCCCGGCUUAACUGGGAGGGUGCAUUCGAUACUGGAUGGCUGGAGUGCAUCAGAGGAAAGCGGAAUUCCCGGUGUAGUGGUGAAAUGCGUAGAUAUCGGGAAGAACACUAGUGGCGAAGGCGGCUUUCUGGGGUGUUACUGACGCUGAGGCCCGAAGGCGUGGGGAGCAAACAGGAUUAGAUACCCUCGUAGUC
rnacentral:rRNA from 1 species